UUCAGUCGCGCAUUCCACCACAUUUCGCUUUAGGGUUUCAUCUCGCCGCUCUUUCAGCAGGCUAUUCCUCCAUUAAUCUUCCGAGAGGCUGCAGUGACGAGAAAGAUUACAAAAUCAUUUGAUAAUCUCUUUUGUUUAUGUGAUAUCUCAAUAAUCUAUGCUUAUGCUUGAAGGACUAAAGCUUUUCUUUGCUACUACUGGUCUCCAGGUUAAUCCAGCUAAAUCAACCAUCUAUAGCUGUGGAUUAGAUAAGCAAACUAAGGAUGAGAUGACUAGUAUUUCCGAUUUCAAUUUUGAUCAACUCCCAUUUAAAUAUUUGGGAGUACCUAUCAUUGCUAGAAAAAUCAAGGCUGGUGAUUGUAAUUUUUUGGUGGAGAAGAUGGUGGCUAAAAUCAAAGUGUGGAGCUUAAGACACCUCUCCUUUGCACGGAGAAUGAAGCUCAUUAAUUCAGUCCCGAUGAGCAUCAUUAUUUAUUGGGGGCAAAAUUUUCUUAUUCCUAACUCCAUCAUCAAGAAAAAUAAUGCAGUGUGUAGAGCCAUACUUAUGGUAUGGGGUCUAUGAUGACAACAGACCAGGUAGUGUAAAGUGGGAUAAACUCUAUAUGGAGAAAGACCAAGGUUGACUUGGGUUCAGAAAUUUGGCUCUAUGGAACCAGGCAUCUGUUGGGAAAUUAGCCUGGGCUAUUGAACAAAAGCAAGAUAACCUCUGAGUUAAAUGGAUGCACUAUGUAUAAAUCAAGACCAAAUACUGACAACAUUAUCAAGCCCCUCUUGCUGCCAGUUGGGCUGUGAAGUAUGUUUGUAAGGCUAAAAAGGCCUGCAAUGAUGCUAUGCACUCCUCUUCUUGGCUUAAAGAAGCUAGAUAUUCUAUCAAGGGGGUGUAGAACCAGCUCAAGAUCCAAGCCGACAAGACUCAAUGGAGAGCUAGGAACUCUGAUGUGUGGGAACAUACAGUGCUAGCUAUGACUACUCUGUUGUACACCUUACAGUUUGAUGUUAAGCACAUAGUCCUAAGUAUAGUGACAAGAAACUAAGUGAUCUAGAUAGAAAAUGGUUAUUAGCUUUGUAAUCAUUCCAGUCUCUUUAGAUUCAAUGUGUUGAAUCUGUUGGUUUGCUCAGGCUGGCUCUUAGGGUGUUCUUGCCUAAAAAACAAAGAGGCAGGGUUUCCCAUUGCGCAAGCUCUAAAUCGUAUAAUAUGGGAUCAUGUUCA